rnacentral:rRNA from 1 species
AACGAACGCUGGCGGCAGGCCUAACACAUGCAAGUCGAACGCCGUAGCAAUACGGAGUGGCAGACGGGUGAGUAACGCGUGGGAACAUACCCCUCGGUUCGGAAUAACUCAGGGAAACUUGAGCUAAUACCGGAUACGUCCGAGGUUUUGAUCGACCUUGGAGAAAGAUUUAUCGCCGAAGGAUUGGCCCGCGUCUGAUUAGCUUGUUGGUGAGGUAAUGGCUCACCAAGGCGACGAUCAGUAGCUGGUCUGAGAGGAUGAUCAGCCACAUUGGGACUGAGACACGGCCCAAACUCCUACGGGAGGCAGCAGUGGGGAAUAUUGGACAAUGGGCGAAAGCCUGAUCCAGCCAUGCCGCGUGAGUGAUGAAGGCCUGG